rnacentral:rRNA from 1 species
UACGUAGGGGGCAAGCGUUGUCCGGAUUUAUUGGGCGUAAAGAGCGUGUAGGCGGCUUGACAAGUCUGCUGUGAAAACUCGAGGCUCAACCUCGAGCUGUCGGUGGAAAACUGUCUGGCUAGAGUCCGGAAGAGGAGAGUGGAAUUCCUGGUGUAGCGGUGAAAUGCGCAGAUAUCAGGAAGAACACCUAUGGCGAAGGCAGCUCUCUGGGACGGUACUGACGCUGAGACGCGAAAAGCGUGGGGGAGCGAACAGG